rnacentral:rRNA from 1 species
UACGUAGGCAGCGAGCGUUGUUCGGAUUUACUGGGCGUAAAGGGUGUGUAGGCGGCCUUCUAAGUUUGGUGUGAAAUCUCCCGGCUCAACUGGGAGGGUGCGCCGAAUACUGAAGGGCUAGAGUGCGGGAGAGGAGAGUGGAAUUCCUGGUGUAGCGGUGAAAUGCGUAGAUAUCAGGAGGAACACCGGUGGUGUAGACGGCUCUCUGGACCGUAACUGACGCUGAGACACGAAAGCGUGGGUAGCAAACAGG